UCAUGAUCUUUCUCAUAACAUUAUUUGAAUUGUUCUUAAAAAAAAAUUAGAAAAAAAAACUUACAAAUAUACUUGAAGAAAAAUUACAAUUAUUUUAAUAUUAUAAUUUUUUUUUUCAGUUGCAUAAAUAUGUGCAACAUUGUUACAUGGUAAGUUACGUACUUCAUUUUUUGUCAAUUUCAUCUUAUUUUUUGUAGUUUAAUGUUGUCAUAUAUGUAUGUCCAAAAUUGCAUCAAAACAAUUUGAAGAGAUUGUUGAACGUGACGUUUGAUAGUAAGUAUUUUUAAUUUUUUUUUUAUAUUUAAUUGAAUGUUUGAAAAAAUUAUAUUCAAUUUGUUUUAAAUUAUAUUUCAAGUUGCACACGCUUUGGCUCAUCAUUACCAGGUAAUCUCUUUCACUUGCAAUUUUAUUUAAUUCUCCACAAAAUGAUAUUAGUACUUAAAAUAUUAUGCAUUAUAAAAAUAUAUAAACAAACAUAUGAAAACACUUGCAUAAAGAUAUAAAGCUUUGUGAGUAUACGAGUGACAUUGCAGUUAACAAUCUCAUAAUAUAUUAUUACUGCCUUUCACAUAAUUACAUAUAAAUAACUAAAAAAUAUGAAAUUAGUAUCUAAUAUAUAAUGUAGGCACAUUUUAAAAAUAACUAGAUUUCAUCUACAUAACACAUAUUACUAAAAAUAAACAGUUCAAAAAACUUAAAAAUACAAACCUUAGGAUAUAUUAUUAUUGUCUUUCACAUAAUUUUAUAUAAUGUAGGCACAUUUUAAAAAUUGCCAGAUUUCAUCUACAUAAGUGUUAGUUUACUAACAAUCUCAGAAAAAAUGAAUCAUGAUUACCUCAACACAUCAAAUUUGAGACAUGUACAACAACAAAAUCGUGAACGAUGUUGUUUAUAUCUACAACAGAGGAGGCAACGCUCAGCUUCGGAAUCAAAUGCUCAAACUGAACAACCACAAAGAGAACUCGAAUAGUUUCGCCUUCAAAACUUGAGCACUGAACAACGCUCAGCAAGAUUGGAGCAACGUCGUCUUACUCAGCGUAGGCGAAGAUUGUUCAUUCGCGAACAAAGCGCGAGUUCUAAUGUGUAAAAAAGAGAAAUUCAAAGGGAAAGUUUGCAUAAUUACGCUAGACAAAGGAGGGCUGCUUUGACUACUAAACAGCACGAACAACAACUAGCAAGGCGAUGAACAAAUUAUCGACAAAGAAGACAAAUAUCUGAAAAUCUCGAACAAACUUCUCAUCCAAAUCAAGCACAUAAUAUGACAAAUGCACAAACAAGUAGAUGCAAUCCCAAGAAGAAAUAGAACAGGAUGGCGCAGGCCGAGAGCAACAGUUUUGCCAACCAUUCACGAAGAAGGGGAUUUAGUUGCGACUAAUGUUUUUAGUCGGGAAAGUAGAAUGACUUUACGCUCACGUAUCAACUUAUCCCGAUAUGCACCUACUCAUUCGACUUAUGAGCAUGGAAGCACAAGUGGCAACAAACAAGAUGAUCCUCACGAAGUUAAAAUGGCCAUGCAAAUAUGAUAUCCAGUACAAUUACAAUUAAAAUUGAACAUGCAACUCAAACACUUUCAAAUAAAUAGUAUUGUGUUAAUAAUAAACCUAUACAUCAUACAUGUAUUGUCAUAGGAAA